UGCAAGCGGUGGAGGUGGAGGUGGCGGGGGAGGCGGUGGCCAAAAUGGUGGAACUGGAUAUGGUAGCGCGGGUCUGGCUCCGGCUCUGGUUCUAGUCAAUAUAGUCAAGGAUCUUCAUAUCCUUAUGGUGGUGGAUAUGGUGGAUAUACUAGCGAUGGCGGUUCCGGUGGCGGCGGUGGUGGAGGGCAAGCUAGUGGUUAUAGAGGAUCUAGUGGAUAUGGGGCUGGUAGUGGCACUGGUUCCGGCUCAGCAACUGCUACUAACAAUUUUUAUAGACAAGGUAGUACAAAUGCAGAUGCCGGUGGAAAUGGUGGUGGCGAUGGCGGAGGAAGAAAUGGUGGGAGUGGUGUGGGCAAAGGUGUUGGAUCUGGGUAUGGCAAUGCCAAUCCCUAGUUCUGUUUCUGUGAGGAAUCUAAAAAAAUGAAGCCUAACCUAGUGUGUCAAAUCGAUGUCUUCAACUCUUUUUUCAUUUGUUUGUUAUCAUCUUACGUAUGAUCAAAUAAGGGCUUCAUUGUUCUGGUGAAAAAUGCACUAGUGUUUUUGAUAUAUUCCAAGAAUAUAACAUGUCAAUGUAUCACUAUUUAUAUGUAAUAAGUUAUACACCAUCGUUUUGGUGUCAAAGUCGUUACUUUUUUUUUAUGAAAUCAUGUAUUAACUUUUAUUUGAAAGCUUGUACGAUUUUUGAAAUUGUGGUUGUUCUUACACUUUGCGAAAUUUGAUUUGCAUUUAAGUUCCAAAGUUUGUUCCCAGUCUCAAAUAGUUUAUGUUGAAAUGUCUAGGAGCUCUAUAUAAUUUUUUGACAAAGCUCUUUUCUGCCGGAAUAGGGGGUUUCAUUAACUGAUAAUAAUAUAUUUACAAUCCUUCAAAAGGAGCUGCAAAAUAGCAGAUGUUGCAUCUAGGAUACAGAUGGAUCUGUUUGCACUCUUAGCAGCUAUUUGCGCGAGAGCAUGGUCAACCUUAUUUGCCCUCCGUGGUGUAUCAUAUGACUUGCUAACCGAAAACAACGAUACCAUCCUCUAGGCCUCUUUGUACUGGUACAUAGCAACGAUCUAUUGUCUCCUCCAUCCUUCAGGAUAUUAUUGAUUGACAAGCUAUCAGACUCAAUGAUCGAAGACAUAGUAGCUUGUUUCGGGAAAAGAUUAAUACCCUCCACACACUCUCAUCCAUCCACUUCCUCGGGAUCAUAACACCACCCAUUCUAUACAUGCUCGUCGCUAGAGUUGACCAUAAACUAGCAAAAGUUGUAUGUCAACAAAGCAAGUGCCUAUAGUUGUACAAAUAGGGGAUUUCUUUGCUUGGGAAAUGCUAAUUAUCCUCUAGUGUAUUAAACCACAUGCUUUAGUUACUUAGUUAGCCCUCUCAAGUAGUCUUCAUGCAAGGAACACUACUACGAAAUGAAGCACUAGAGACCCCUCAUCACGGACCGGCUACCGGCGAAACAUCGGUGAUGAGUUUCAACACUGAUCGGCCUCCUCAAAGGAAUCAGGGAUGAGCUUCAUGCUGUCGGAGUACCACAUGACUCUUAAUUAGUCCAAUACACACCAUGCACAAACUUUCAUUGCCUAUUAAGCUAGCAAUUCCUAUAUAUGUAUGAUAUUAAGUUUGUAAAAUAAAAAUGUUGUUUAUUUUAUAUGAACAUGGGAUGGGCAUACAACAUUGUUGUUGUGACCUUUUAGUGUACUAUAUAUAAAUCACUCUUUUUGUAAGAGUGUUUUGUGCAGUGCACCUAAAUGACACAUUGGUGAUGUUGAUCUAUUUUAAGUGCACUACAUAAAAGAAAAAGAACCAUUGCCCAAGCUCCCGACCUUGAAUGGGGGAGGUUAAAUGUAGUUUCUAGUGAGUUAAAGGACUCAUUGGAAUGUACUUUCACGUUGUUGAUGAAUCUUCGAUGGAAAAACUCUUCUCCCAAUUGAAUCAUUGUAGGUAGAUAAUUAUACAUUUGACAGUAUCAGCAAGAAAUGCAAUCCAAUAUUAUGCUCACAUAUUGCGUGAACAUAACUUUGCGUUGCAGUACAAAAUGGGGUGCAUCCCCAUUUUGCAUCACCAAAAGAUGUCAUCACUCACCUGUCUUAUGCAAAUGCUCAGCCAAUAAAUAACUCCAUGGAAGGCCGUUCUCAAAGUUAUCAUAGACUGUCCAGUUUAUGAUGGACAACAUAACUGGACGACUAGUUGGCCUGUAUGUGAUGCCAAUGUCAUCACUGACCCCAAGGCACUGACGGGCCUGAUACUCAUCUGUGAUGAUACAAUUUGUCCGGUCGGUGCUAUUCAAAUUUGUAGUAGGGGAAGGAACAUACUCAAUGGAGUUGUCAUCCUUCCAGAGACCGACCAUAAGAUGCACCGAAAAACAUUAGUAGGGUAGCUUUCAAAGUUGACGUUGAAAAUGACUAUGAAAAUGUGAUGUCAUCCUUCCUUUAGUAUACACUUUGGGCGAAGGUCUUUUCCGAUGAAGUGGUGUGUGUGGUUCGAUAGUUUUGUAUCCAGAGGUAGCAUCACUAUAAAAGCUAACAUUACUUCCAAUCCAAAAAUGGUCCUGACCGGGUGAUUCACUAUCUCCAAUGUGGUUGUUUAACAUAGUUGCAAAUAUGUUUUCUAUUCGGGUUGAGCGCGUCAAACAUUUGGCCAGGUUAUAGGAGAAGUACUGCUGCAUCUUGUUGAUAGAGGCCUCUUAGUUCAGUAUACUGUCCACAUGAUUCUUUUAUGGNNNNNNNNNNNNNNNNNNNNNNNNNNNNNNNNNNNNNNNNNNNNNNNNNNNNNNNNNNNNNNNNNNNNNNNNNNNNNNNNNNNNNNNNNNNNNNNNNNNNCCACUGUGCUGGAAAGCAAAGGGAUUUCAUUUUUGUGAACUUAUUUGAACUCCAUACUUUUUGUGUGUUCAAAAUGCACCAUUCAAAGGCACACCACAAAAUUUCAACAAUUUCUGACUUCAUUUGGUAUAUUUCGUGGAUUUACUUAUUUUUUUUGAGCUAGUUGACCCUGAAAUUGAAAAGCACUACAAAUGAACUCUGAAAAUGUUGAAAGUUGGCAUGCUAUCAUCAUUUCACCCACAUAGCAUGUGUUAAAAAGUUGAGAGGGCUACGACAAAAACUGGAUGCACUUCGUGUACAAAACGGACAAUCUCUCUCGAAGUAUCAGGGUUUCGAACGAGAACUCAUCUCUUACAAAGGGAUUUCAUUUUUGUGAACUUAUUUGAACUCCAUACUUUUUGUGUGUUCAAAAUGCACCAUUCAAAGGCACACCACAAAAUUUCAACAAUUUCUGACUUCAUUUGGUAUAUUUCGUGGAUUUACUUAUUUUUUUUGAGCUAGUUGACCCUGAAAUUGAAAAGCACUACAAAUGAACUCUGAAAAUGUUGAAAGUUGGCAUGCUAUCAUCAUUUCACCCACAUAGCAUGUGUUAAAAAGUUGAGAGGGCUACGACAAAAACUGGAUGCACUUCGUGUACAAAACGGACAAUCUCUCUCGAAGUAUCACGGUUUCGAACGAGAACUCAUCUCUUACAAAGGGAUUUCAUUUUUGUGAACUUAUUUGAACUCCAUACUUUUUGUGUGUUCAAAAUGCACCAUUGAAAGGCACACCACAAAAUUUCAACAAUUUCUGACUUCCUUUGGUAUAUUUCGUGGAUUUACUUAUUUUUUUGAGCUAGUUGACCCUGAAAUUGAAAAGCACUACAAAUGAACUCUGAAAAUGUUGAAAGUUGGCAUGCUAUCAUCAUUUCACCCACAUAGCAUGUGUUAAAAAGUUGAGAGGGCUACGACAAAAACUGGAUGCACUUCGUGUACAAAACGGACAAUCUCUCUCGAAGUAUCAAGGUUUCGAACGAGAACUUAUCUCUUACAAAGGGAUUUCAUUUUUGUGAACUUAUUUGAACUCCAUACUUUUUGUGUGUUCAAAAUGCACCAUUGAAAGGCACACCACAAAAUUUCAACAAUUUCUGACUUCAUUUGGUAUAUUUCGUGGAUUUACUUAUUUUUUUGAGCUAGUUGACCCUGAAAUUGAAAAGCACUACAAAUGAACUCUGAAAAUGUUGAAAGUUGGCAUGCUAUCAUCAUUUCACCCACAUAGCAUGUGUUAAAAAGUUGAGAGGGCUACGACAAAAACUGGAUGCACUUCGUGUACAAAACGGACAAUCUCUCUCGAAGUAUCAGGGUUUCGAACGAGAACUCAUCUCUUACAAAGGGAUUUCAUUUUUGUGAACUUAUUUGAACUCCAUACUUUUUGUGUGUUCAAAAUGCACCAUUCAAAGGCACACCACAAAAUUUCAACAAUUUCUGACUUCAUUUGGUAUAUUUCGUGGAUUUACUUUUUUUUUUUUGAGCUAGUUGACCCUGAAAUUGAAAGCACUACAAAUGAACUCUGAAAAUGUUGAAAGUUGGCAUGCUAUCAUCAUUUCACCCACAUAGCAUGUGUUAAAAAGUUGAGAGGGCUACGACAAAAACUGGAUGCACUUCGUGUACAAAACGGACAAUCUCUCUCGAAGUAUCAGGGUUUCGAACGAGAACUCAUCUCUUACAAAGGGAUUUCAUUUUUGUGAACUUAUUUGAACUCCAUACUUUUUGUGUGUUCAAAAUGCACCAUUGAAAGGCACACCACAAAAUUUCAACAGUUUCUGACUUCAUUUGGUAUAUUUCGUGGAUUUACUUAUUUUUUUUGAGCUAGUUGACCCUGAAAUUGAAAAGCACUACAAAUGAACUCUGAAAAUGUUGAAAGUUGGCAUGCUAUCAUCAUUUCACCCACAUAGCAUGUGUUAAAAAGUUGAGAGGGCUACGACAAAAACUGGAUGCACUUCGUGUACAAAACGGACAAUCUCUCUCGAAGUAUCAAGGUUUCGAACGAGAACUUAUCUCUUACAAAGGGAUUUCAUUUUUGUGAACUUAUUUGAAGUCCAUACUUUUUGUGUGUUCAAAAUGCACCAUUCAAAGGCACACCACAAAAUUUCAACAAUUUCUGACUUCAUUUGGUAUAUUUCGUGGAUUUACUUAUUUUUUUUGAGCUAGUUGACCCUGAAAUUGAAAAGCACUACAAAUGAACUCUGAAAAUGUUGAAAGUUGGCAUGCUAUCAUCAUUUCACCCACAUAGCAUGUGUUAAAAAGUUGAGAGGGCUACGACAAAAACUGGAUGCACUUCGUGUACAAAACGGACAAUCUCUCUCGAAGUAUCACGGUUUCGAACGAGAACUUAUCUCUUACAAAGGGAUUUCAUUUUUGUUGAACUUAUUUGAACUCCAUACUUUUUGUGUGUUCAAAAUGCACCAUUGAAAGGCACACCACAAAAUUUCAACAAUUUCUGACUUCAUUUGGUAUAUUUCGUGGAUUUACUUAUUUUUUUUGAGCUAGUUGACCCUGAAAUUGAAAAGCACUACAAAUGAACUCUGAAAAUGUUGAAAGUUGGCAUGCUAUCAUUUCACCCACUAUACAUUACUUUACCCCAACCCAACUAAGUUACGACUAGUUGGUUAAAAAGGUUUUAAAAAAGGUUGGAAGGGACGGGUACCGUAACCGAAAAACUAAAACGGUGGUAUCGACUUACGUUNNNNNNNNNNNNNNNNNNNNNNNNNNNNNNNNNNNNNNNNNNNNNNNNNNNNNNNNNNNNNNNNNNNNNNNNNNNNNNNNNNNNNNNNNNNNNNNNNNNNAGUCCCCCUAGUUUGUAGACCCUUGGAAACUAGUUAACGUACUAGAAUAAGUUACACAAAAAAUGAAAUCCCUUUGUAAGAGAUGAGUUCUCGUUCGAAACCGUGAUACUUCGAGAGAGAUUGUCCGUUUUGUACACGAAGUGCAUCCAGUUUUUGUCGUAGCCCUCUCAACUUUUAACACAUGCUAUGUGGGUGAAAUGAUGAUAGCAUGCCAACUUUCAACAUUUYYAGAGUUCAUUUGUAGUGCUUUCAAUUUCAGGGUCAACAAGCUCAAAAAUAAAAGUAAAUCCACGAAAUAUACAAAUGAAGUCAGAAAUUGUUGAAAUUUUGUGCUGUGCCUUUGAAUGGUCCAUUUUGAACACACAAAAAGUAUGGAGUUCAAAUAAGUUCACAAAAAUGAAAUCCCUUUGUAAGAGAUUAGUUCUCGUUCGAAACCCUGAUACUUCGAGAGAGAUUGUCCGUUUUGUACACGAAGUGUAUCCAGUUUUUCGUAGCCCUCUCAACUUUUUAACCCAUGCUAUGUGGGUGAAAUGAUGAUAGCAUGCCAACUUUCAACAUUUUCAGAGUUCAUUUGUAGUGCUUUUCAAUUUCAGGGUCAACUAGCUCAAAAAAAAAUAAGUAAAUCGACGAAAUAUACCAAAUGAAGUCAAAAAGUAUGGAGUUCAAAAAACCAUAUUAUGAAAUUAAAUAUUAUCAUUGGCGAUUCAUCUCUAUUAUGAAAUCAUAUAUAUAAAAAAACCAUUGCAGAACAUAUGACCAAAUUAAUACAAGUUCAUCAUCACAUUAAAGCCAAAGAAUGGUAGUGAUCAAAUGUUAUUAUUGCAAAAAAUAAAUACAUAAAGUUCUCUGUUAAAAACAACAUACAACUAUGUAAAACAUUUAAAUGCAACAACAAACGCGACCAAAAUCGCAACUAAGGUAACAAUUGACCCAACAGCAUAAUGAUACCAAGCCUCUUUAUCAAUGGCAUAUUUUCUAAUAUUCCUAAUCUUCAAGCGCAUUUCAUCCAUCUUCAAGUGCAUUGCAUCCAUCUUCAACCGCAUCGCAUCGAUCUUCAUCUUGCGAUCAUCGAUGACAUCGGUGACAUGCAACUCCAGUUCCAUAUUCUUAUCCUCAAUUAUUUUCAAUUUUUUCUUCAAGUAUUUGUUUUCUUUUUCAACCAAAUUUAACUUCUCGACAAGAAUUUUUGUGGGUUGGAAUUUCCGGUUCACAUACCUCCUAGAUUAAAAAAAUAUAUGUCACAUUGGUCGUCAUAAUUGUCAUAAACACUAAAUAAAACUAAUAGUUAUAAAAGAUAAUAUAUACCACAUCAGUAUCAUAGACAGGACGAGGGCCGACGGAGGCAGAUACCAAAACCAUCGCACUAUAUAAUAACAAAAAAUAAUGAAAGUGAGUAAUUUAUACAAGUAUGUAUCUAAAUCAUACAAGUAAGAUUUUUUUGAUUUUAAAAAGAAGAUAAGAACAAGAGGCUCACCACGGUGGUGCUCGCAGUUGGUGCACGGCCAAACCUAGACAAAUAUUAAGGAAAAUCGAGCUUGGAGGUCGAGCUUGGAGAGGAGAAAGCUUAAGUAGAGUGGCUCGGGCAUUUCAUCGAACACGUCAUGUGCAUGAACUAGAGUGGCAAGAGCAUGGCAUGGUCACACUUCAACAACCAAAAAACAGGGGAUAUGGUGGCCAGGGGCGAGGGUUUAUAUAGGCAACACUUUAGUCCCGGUUCUUGCCACGCCCCGGGACUAAAGGCCCCUGCUUCCCGCCAUCUGGUCUGCCGAAAAAGGGCCUUUAGUCCCAGGUCGUGGCUCCACCCGGGACUAAAGGGUCUUUAGUCCCGGAUUGAGCCCCGAACCGGGACUAAAGAUUCACCUGUAUAAGCGGGGGUUAGAAAAUUUCGAACCCAAAUCGUCCAUUUUCUCUUCUUCUUCCUCUCGUUCUCCUGCCCGGCGCGGCAAGCGACGAUCUCGACGACGCCGUCAGGCUGCCCGCCGUCCUGCUCGCCGCCGCUUGCCAUCCUCCUCGCCAUCGCCAUCGUCCUGCUCGCUGCCGCCGUCCUCCUCGCCGCGCGCCGCCCUCCUCGCUGCGCGCUGCCCUCCUCGCCGCGCGUCGUCGUCCUCCUCGCCGCGCGUCAUCGACACCUCCGGUUGGUAAGCCCCACGCCCCCUUCUCCCCAACACUCCGGCCAGCACAAGCAAAGAAGAAAAAGGAGAAGAAAGGAAGAAAAAGGAGAAGAAAGGAAGAAAAAAGAGAAGAAAAGAAGAAAAAGGAGAAUAAAAGAUGAAAAAGGAGAAGAAAGGAAGAAAAAUAGAAGAAAGGAAGAAAAAGGAGAAGAAAUGAAGAAAAGGAGAAGAAAAGAAGAAAAGGGAGAAGAAAAGAAGAAAAAGGGAAGAAAGGAAGAAAAAGGAGAAGAAAGGAAGAAAAAGGAGAAUAAGAAGAGGAGGAGAAGAAAAGAAGAAAAAGGAGAAUAAGAAGAGGAGGAGAGGAGAACAAGAGGAAAAAUAGAAGAAGAUGAGAGGAGAAGUAGUAGAAGAAGAGGAGAAGUAGAAGUAGAAGAAGAAGUAGAAGAAGAGGAGAAAUAGAAGAAGAGGAAAAAUUAGUUUAGGGUUACAAGAAGAAGAAAUAUAUUUUUUGUCAUUUAAUUUUGCUAUUGUAUAGUGUAUAUGCUUAAGUGUUAAUAGUGUUUCUUAGAUUAUUGCUUAAUUUUGCUAUUGUAUAUGCUUAAGUGUUAAUAGUUUAAUUUUUCUAUUGUAUAUGCUUAAGUGUUAAUAGUUUAUUUUUAGCAAGGAAAUUAACAGAACUAGUUUAAUUUUGCUAUUGUAUAUGCUUAAGUGUCCAGGACUGGGCUCCGCCUGGCUGGUAUUUUAGAGUUUAGGUUCUAGCCAAGACCCGGGACUAAAGGUCCUCCUAUAUAAAACGAGCCUUCGAAGUUUCCAACCCAUCUUAUAUAGUUUGUUAGUUUAUUAGUUAAUCAAAUGUCCGUUUUUUGCAGAACUAUGGAUCCACAUAUCAGGAACCUCGAAGAGGAAGAACUUCUCGAAGAUAUAAUCAAAGACGGCCCCGACGUUGAACCAGCCGAAUCUCCGACGUCCUAUCUAAACGACUCCGGAUAUGGAAUGGAGGUCGAGCGGCACGAAGAUGAAGCCGAUGGGGCAGGAGAUAGGUCCAAUGACGGAGAAGGUGAUAGCUCCACUGAUGGAGAAGCCGGUGGAGAAGCCGGUGAAGAAAUAAUAAAGUCCGGCGAGGUAUACAUAUGAAGUUCGACAAUCACUUGUAAUAUGUGAAAAAUAUUGGAGAUAGCUCUAUAUUGUAUACAUAUACAUUCAUUUGACGAAUGUUUCUCCCUCUUAGGCCUCCACAUCGAGCAAAUCUACGAAACGAGGCCCGAUUAGAAAGUUGGAUGCACGGACGCAUUACACCUUUGAGGUGAUAAUGCCUACGGGCGAACCCAAGCUUCCUAAGAAUGCUGCUGACACAUUCAAGAAGCAAUGCGGAGUUCUCGUUAGGGAUCACGUCCCGAUCAGCGUUCGGGAGUGGAACAAGCGCAAAGGGGCAACCGAUAGUGACUAUGUCGCCGAAAGGUACAAAGAUAAUCUUUGGAAUGAUCUCAUGUCACAUUUCAACCUGCCAGAAUAUGAGAAUGAAGACGCCGCAGACAAACUGAGGGCCAAAGUCAAGCAGUGGACUCUGAAGAAGAUGGCCGAACUGUUCCGUAGCUGGAAGAAGAAGCUAUGGAAAAACUAUCUGAAGACAAAGAAAGUGCCAGUAUUCGAGGGGUAUCUAGCCAAGCAGGCGAAUCACUGGAAGGAAUUUCAAGAGUACAAGGAGUCAGAAGAUGCCCAGGCAUUAUCAGAAAAGAACAAGAUAAAUGCUGACAAGAAGAAAUAUCACCACAAGCUGGGGUGAGGGGGCUAUCAGACUGCCAUCCCAAAGUGGGAAAAGAAAGAGCAAGAUCUGAUAGAUAAAGGCAUCGUACCUGAACCACUCCGUGAUGAGUGGGAACUGAGAGCAAGAAAUUGGUUCCUUGCGCAUGGUGGGUCGUACGACGAAAAAACAGGGGACCUCAUCUACAAUGACAAUCUUAGGAUACCCAGGGAGAAUUGGAAAAGGAUAGUGAAAGAAAUUAAGGAGGGACAAAGAAAGUUCACUGCAGAUAGAGAUAAAGAUUUUCUCACACUGGUCCUCGGCAAUGACGAACAUGGAGGACGAACGCGAGGCUUCGGUCCAUCUUACCCGUGGUGGCUUGGGUUUGCCAGAGACCAAGACACUUAGAGAAGCUGAGAGAGAGCAAAGAAGCGGCAGCAGGUUGAGGAGAAUGACAAGUUCAACCAGUUGCUUGCCAGGAUUAACGAGCAACAGAAGCAGAUUGAUGAGCUUAGAGGAGUACCGCGCCAGGAAGAUCCUGCACUUGAUAUUACCGGCGCCCCAUCUAAGUGAAAAAACAGCGUGGCUGAAUCUGAGGCCCCGCCCGAUGAUGAACGAAGAAUGAUAGAGGGCGGUCCCGGCUACCCCGUGGAUGGAAUCAAGGAUUCAACAUCAUGUGAACUUCAUCAGAAAUUCAAGAACAUAUCCAUGAAGCUGGCCGUCGGACAAGCUUUACCUUCUGGCCCUAAUGCACGCUGGCAUGGCCGUGAGAUUCUAGCUGGCUUUGCUAAAGUCGGGGUGGAUGAAAUCAUGACGGGGUUUAAUAAUAUGGAGCUCGACAUAGCUGGACCCGAAGAUGAGAGGACACUUGGAGAAGUACUGGGUGGAGUCAUCCUAUGGGACAAGAACUACAUCAAGCUUCCAGGCUCGGCCCCAAGGACAACACCGUCUCCGAGUCAUCGCAGGUCACCUACACCUCCAUUACCUCCAAGCCCUCCACAUGACGUCGGCCAGCACAACACGAGUCCAUCUCAAUCACCGCCGCCGGACUUGGGUCGUCCGUCUCCGCCGCUGCCCGCUCCGGAUACAAACCCUGAGCCUGCCACGGAUACAAAGCGGGAGCGUGCCACCAAUAACGCUCCGCCGUCGCCCGCUCUGGAUACAAACCCUGAGCCUGCCACGGAUACAAAGCGGGAGCGUGCCACCAAGAACGCUCCGCCGCCGCCCGCUCCGGAUACAAAGCCUGAGCCUACCACGGAUACAAAGCGGGAGCGUGCCACCAAGAACGCAACGCCGCCGCCCGCUCCGGAUACAAAGCCUGAGCCUGCCACGGAUACAAAGCGGGAGCGUGCCACCAAGAACGCUCCGUCGACGAUUCCUAAGCCACAGAGCACCCCAAAGCGCAAACGGUCGCCCCUCCCAAAGGUACGUCAUGCUAAUCUUCCUAUCGGACCUUAUGAUCUUACCCCCGAGGAAAACGCCAGGAUAGCAAAGGAAUAUCAUGAUGCGCAGAUGAAAAAGAAGGAACCCGAGCCCCGCCCGGAAUACACCUAGAAGCAAAUAGCAUUUGCAAAAUACUUCACGACCCUUCCAUUACAGUAUGACUUACACCAUAAGCCUGAUGACUAUACACGCACAUUGCAGAAGGAAGUGAAAAAGAGCAGAUCUCGAUCACCGCCGCCGGACUUGGGUCAUCCGUCUCCGCCGCCGCCCGCUCCGGAUACUAAGCGGGAGCGUGCCACCAAGAACGCUCCGCCGACGAUUCCUAACCCACAGAGCACCCCAAAGCGCAAACGGUCGCCCCUCCCAAAGGUACGUCAUGCUAAUCUUCCUAUCAGACCUUAUGACUUACACCAUAAGCCUGAUGACUAUACACGCACAUUGCAGAAGGAAGUGAAAAAGAGCAGUUCAACUACAAGCAAGAAAAAAUAAGACGUUCCUCAGCUUGGACAACAGGCCAAACAGUCGAUCCCACCCCUCAAGGUGUUAACCGAGAAUGUUCCCCCUCCGGUGCAGGGGCUAGCUUUAGAAAGAGCAAAGGAGUUGGCGGCUGCAUGUGGUAUCUCGGUUGAAGAAUUGUUGUCUUCCCAAGACGACAAGAUACCCAAGGCUGUGGUAGCCCUUAAGCCAAAGUUUGUCAUGGGAGAGCCUUUGGUCAGCAAAGAUGAUCUCCCAACAAAUAUGCGUUACUUGCAUAAAUGGUACUUAAGUGAAUCAAAGAAUGGGAGAACGAUGAUCGUGCUGAGUGUCCCACAGGAGUACUACGGCCGCCCCGAAGAAAUCCAUAUCGACUUUGAUGAACUCUUCUAGAUGUACAAUGGCGACGCCCUCGACAAAUCGCUUAUGAGUUGCUAUUGUCUGUAAGUUUUUCAAUUCGUUGUCUACAUAUAACUUGUUUAGUUAUUUCAAUUCAUUGUCUAUAUAUAACUUGUACUCUAUUAUGCAGAAUGAAGAUUCUGGAGUGUAAAAGUAAGAGCAUUAUAAAUAUUGGGUUUAUUGACCCAGAUAAAAUACAUAUAGCGACGCUAACUGAUUAUCCCAAGGAGACGGAGGAAAACCUUCUAAGGUUUCUAACAGAUCAAAAUUUCUGUGACCACAUACUGUUUCCAUACAACUUCAUGUGAGGGUCUUUACUCUGUUGUGUCCAUUCACUUAUAAGUGUAAUUGAUAAGUUACUCACACACACACACACACACACACAUAUAUAUAUAUAUACAUGUGCAGCUUCCAUUGGAUUCUGUUGGACAUUCAAAUUGAUAAGGGAAGAGUUGAUGCCUUCGACCCAUUAUCGAGACCCUUGGAACAGUUCCAAAGCCUGCAGGACAUGCUCCAAGGGUAAUUUCAAUCAUUCUUGCGCUCUAUCGGUCUCUUUCGAUGAUUUUUUGAUAUAUCAAUUAAUGAAAAACUUAGCAAAUCAUUAUCCUUGUCGGGCAGGGUUUGGAAGCGGUUCAAGUGCGUGACUCCCGGUAACUUUCCUGAGAAGCUGACCUUUAGAGCGGCUCAGGUAAGUAGUAGUAUGAUAUACUUCUAUUUUCAAUACAUUUAUGGUGCUAGAUUAUUAUUUUGAUUAUAUAUAUUCUAUUCUCGUAAAGUGCGACCAGCAGCCACGGGGAACGCAUCUAUGCGGAUACUAUGUUUGCGAGACCAUUCGCACGUUUACCUCUGAGCACAAGGAUCAUAGAUUCGACGUAAGCAAUGAACAUUCACACCUCUAUUUUUACCCGUCAUUCUUUGUUAUCAUGAUUGAUAUUCAUAUUCAUCUCCUCUUCUUAUAUAGCACACGGCCAUGACGACGAAGGUCCUACCAGAGCAACGCGCGGUUGCUGUUGCAGAGGAGCUUGCGACCUUUCUGAGGACGGAAGCUAUAGAUGACAAAGGACGAUUUAGUGUAGCUAGGGGCCAUUACUGAUGUUCGUCCAUAUAAUCGAAUAGACGGGCUCUAGUCCCGAUAAUUCAGAUCUCCAUAUAAUUGUAUAUAUAUGCUCGCUUGUAAGAUAAGUUAAUCUUAUAUAUAUAUGCAUAAUUAUUUCUUUUUAAAUUAUAUGAAAACUAAUUCCGGAACACCAAACGAGGCAUCACGUUAAUCUCCCGAACACCUAAACCCUAAAACCCUAAAACCCAAAAAUAAUUUCAUUCAGAAAAAAAACCCAAAAUAAGCAAAAUCUGAAACCCUUUAGUCCCGGUCCGUGUAACGAACCGGGACUAAAGGGCCUGCCCCUGGGGCGCUACGAGGCGCCCACGUGGAGCACCUUUAGUCCCGGCUUGUGACAGGGCCGGGACUAAAGGUUAGGCCUUUAGUCCCGCCCCUUUAGUCUCGGUUGGUGAACCGGGACUAAAGCCCCUUACGGGCCGGGGCUAUAGGCCCCGUCCCCACUAGUGGUAUAUAGGACCUCCAGGUUAAGAGCGAUGUUUUACUUAGUCAAUGGAUGUACAUGAUUAGCACUUAGAAGGUGUAUUGCAAAACUCUUAGUUUGUCUUGAAGAUUGAAUUGCUUACCGUGCGUCCAACCUAGUUAUCCGCAUCUUCACAUACAUCGCUGGGAUAGUUCACGUGUGGAUGCUUGUUUAAUUGUCUAGAUUAAGAAGCAUGUAAGAAUUAAUUUAGUUGGGUGCCAUGUACUUCAUCGUGGAGUAUAAUCGACUCAGUUAUUUGGUGUAACCAAUCAUAACUAACACAAGCUGGGCACAACUAAUAUCAAUUUGAUCUUGUGUUAGUUGUUGGGCUUAUCCACAUGCAAAAUGUUCUUGUACCGUGAAAAAACAUGAUAAAUUCUAUUAUGUUAGAAUAAAUUUGUUUUAUCAUGUUUUUCAUGGAACAAGAACAUUUUUGAAUGUACACUCGGCAUGGCUUACUGUAUUUCCUUUUGGCAACCGGUACCUCUUUGAUAUACCGCCCACCACAUGGUAGCUUUCUUCUUCUUUCUUAUUAGCGUCUGUUUGUGUUGUUGCCUUCAACAAACUUAUUUUUAUAUAUUUUACACCCGAACUUGUUGUACGGACAUGACGAUUUCUUUAUCAAUAAAACAGAGAGAAAAUCUGUUUUCGGGAGAAGACAACAGACGCUAGAGACCCCACUAGUAGAAAACAGGGCUUUGGUCCACGGGAGAUAAGAGCUUUAUUUCCGGUUCUAUUACGAACCAAGACCAAUGGGUGCAUCAGUCCCAGUUCAUGAGGGUAGGGCGCCGGCCGGGCCAGGAUCCCGGUUCGUCUGACCCCUUUGGUCCUGGUUCCAGACACGUACCGGGAUCAAUGGUCGUCGCUCCUGGCGUAGCACCUGUAGUCUCGGUUGGUGGUUUGAACCGGGACUAAAGAUCAGUCUUUUGUCCCGAUUCUUGCCACCAACCGGGACCAAAGAGAUGCCUAUAUAUAUCCUCACCCGUGCCCACCCUCUCUUCUGUUUUUUGGCCAUGUGGGAUGUCUGCAUGCCCUGCUUUGUUCACCGUUCUAUGCAUGUACAUGAGGUGUUCGAUGAAAUGAUCGAGCCACACUUAAGCUUUCUCCUCUUCAAGCUUGACCUCCAAUCUCCAUUUUCCACAAGAUUUGUCUAGGUUUGGUGGUGCACCAACUACACAAGUGUUUUAAAAGGUUAGCUACUUCAUCCUUUCAUAUCUCACUGCUAGUUUAGCUCAUUUCAAAUGCUCUAGAAGUAGAGUGGUUCGUGGGUUUUAGUGUAGGAGUGUAUGUGGGAGUUCUUUUGAUUUAUAUGUACAAUAUGAGCUCAAGUUAACUUCUUACAGUCUGCACAUGUGUAGGUGACAUCCCGUCCCGGUCCUCACCGUCGUCGAUCGCCUGCGUCGAUCUCAUCACCGGCACCACCGUGGUGGCUUCCACGUAGCUAGCUCGCUCAGCCUGAUUUCACGGCUCCUCGCUACCCCGUGGAUAGUAUCACGGAGGCUGAACAUUGUGUGCUAAUGGCAAAAUGCCAGAACCUGACCUUGAAAGCGGCGCUCAACUCUGUUGUACCUCCUCGAGCUGAGGAAACUUUCCAUUGCCGUCCGAUUCGACAUGGCUAUAAUAUUGUGAUGGUGGAUGAAAUAAUGGAGGGAUUUGAGGAAUUGGCGCUUGACUACCCUACAGGUGAAGGGGAGAUUCAUUUGGAAAAUUAUUUAAGGUCUAUAUGUCUAGGAGUACAUCAAGCUUCCAAACUGGACGCCUUAGCAGACUGAUCAGCUGACUCCGCCUCCUCCGGCGCAUGAGCGCACUCCGCCUCCUUAUCCACCUCCUUCGGCGCAUGAGCGCACUCCGCCUCCUUAUCCUCCUCCUCCCCUGCCUCCUUCGGCGUGUGAGCGCACUCCGCCUCCUUAUCCGCGUCCUCCCGCGCAUCAGCAAAGGCGGAAGAUAGAUGCCGCCGCUCCGGCGGGUAGCAGUACAAGAGGCGGGAAGAAAUUCAAAUUUGGUCCAAGCCUAAAGGCUCCUGCAAAGUUACCAUAUGAGAGGACUAAGGAGGAAAACGCAGUAAUCAUGGAUGCCUAUAAUAAGGCCUUUUUUGCACCGAAACAUCCACCUCCAAAGGAGAAAAUUGAUCCGGUAAAAGCAAAGCGCUGUCUGGAUGCCCUUAACCGACCACCACCACGUGUGCUGCCAUCACACUAUAAGCGAAUUCUUGGAAAGACAUAUGAUCAAGCGAAGCAGUCGGGAAGCUUAAGUACCAGUGGUGCAAGAAGUGGGAAAAAAUUCCCCAGCUCGGCGAACAGGAUAAGCAAUCGUUCCCCCAUCUCAAUGUGUUUACCGAUGUUGCUAAUAUUGAUUCGGGGUAGUGGCCGCUAAUCCUGGUUUCGCUCUUGGUUAUUACUUAAGCGAAGAUGUACAGUUCGAAACUGCCCCGGUAGUAGCCCUUAGAUACGAGCAUGGGAAGCCUCUUGUCAAACCUGAACAGUUGACGGAACUAUCAACGAUGAUGCGAAGACUACGUGAUUGGUACUUGAAAGCCUGCAAGGAUGGGACCAACGGUAUGUACGUGUGAAUUAAAGAUGAGCACUUUUGUAGUGGAAAUGGGUCGUUGUACAUUGAGUUUGACGAAUUCUUUCAUUUAUACAAUCAAGACGUCCUGAAAAAACGAUCAUCAGUUCCUAUAGUCUGUAAGUAUUAUUUCUAUAAUUAAGUCUCUAGCUCAGCUCCUUCAUUAUUGCGUGUAACUAUCCUUACUAUAUUAUGCAGAUUGAAGAUCCUCGAAUGCAAAAGAGGACAAAUAUAUGACAUUGGGUUUACUAACCCAAAUACCGCAAAUGCACAUAGCGUAUGUAAGACUCCCAUGGAUAACGAGAUAUUGUUGCUAACUGUGUUACUUCGACAACAUGACAGAAGGAAAAUACUAUUUCCUUCCAACUUCGGGUGAGUGUUACUAGUUGUCUUUGACACAUUCUGUUUCGCUUACUCAAGGCUAAGUGUAAUUGAUGAGUUAUGUGUGCGCAGGUUUCACUUUGUUAUGUUAAUCAUUACGCUCGACGAGGGACUAGUACUUGUCUUGUUUGUUAUGUUAAUCAUUACGCUCGACGAGGGACUAGUACUUGUCUUGGACUUUCUACGAAAGACCCUACAGAGUUGGCGCCGAUUAAUGAAAUGCUUCAUAAGUACGUUCAAUCAUUAUCACACCAUGUCGACAACUUUCUUUCAUUUUUCUAAUAUCAAGUGAUCAUUUUAUUUGCCGUGCAGUGUUUGCAAAAAGUUCACCAAGAGUGCUAAAGGUGAAAGGAAUAAGGAGCCGCGAUUUUCCUUCUCAAAAGUAAGUAGUACUAGCUAGUUCCGCACAUCUUUCAUUCAUUCUAGUUUCAAUACCAGUAUCAUGCUUGACUAUUAUUUUGAUCGAACUGUAUUCUCAUAAAGUACUGCUUGAGGCAGGAAUCCCGGACUAAUUUCUGUGGAUACUUCGUUUGCGAGUGGAUUCACCAGAUGACCUGUGAUAACGGCAGAUCUUUUAAAGAACUUGACGUACGUAAACAAUAUUCACAUUUUUAUUUUAUUAGCAUCAACCGUGUUGAGUUUAAUUCAUAUAUAUUAUCUAGUUAGGGAUCGCAAGAGAUGUUAUAUAUUGUAUAUAUGCAUGAUCGCGUACUAUAUGUAGUGGGGUCGAGUUGUUCCACCAAGUAUGGAGAAAGAGUGGUCACUUGUCUCUAUAUAUAUGUUCUUGAUCACAAUGUUGUGUAAUUAAUGAUUCCUUCAUUUGCUUACUAGUUAGCGGCGAGUUCACUCUAUAGUAGCUACCGUCGAUCAAGUACGAAGAAAGAGAGGUCACUUCUCUCUAUAUAUAGUACUCCCUCCGUUCCAAAAGAACUGUCUCAACUUUGCACUAGCUCUAAUACAAAGUUGUACUAAGCUUAAGACACUUAUUUUGGGACGAGGGAGUAGCUAGCUAACACAAUAUGAAAUCCCUAAAACCCUCCAAAAAUCCUAAACCCCCCAUUUUAAAAAAACCCGACGCCCGCGAGCUGCUGACGCGUGGCUGCCUUUUGGUCCCGGUUGGUGUAGACUAAAGGUCCUCCUGCCUGAGUGCCCCGCAGCGGCCACGUGGAGCUCCUUUGGCCCCGGUUCGUAAGCCAAGCGGGACUAAAGGUUCUAGAUAUUUGUCCGAUUUGUUUUGUCCCGGUUGAAGAAACCGAGACUAAAGGCCCACUGGAACCGGAUUUAAAGCCCUGUUUUUCACUAGUGUCCAUUGAUUAUUUAUGUAUAUUACGGCUGGUUUUGUCAAUGAUGUUAGGCAUUUAUCUGGGGAGAAAAAAGUUGAGCGUGUUAAUUACGCUGUUCAGUUUAGGUAUCAUGGUUUGUAGAGCUAGAGCAUCUCCGCUCAAUACUAGUUCGAUCAAAACUAACACUCCAUCCGUUCCUAAAUAUAAGUUUUGUAGAGAUUUUACUACGGACUAUAUACGAAGUAAAAUGAAUGAAUGUAUAGUCUAAAGUAUGUGUAUAUAGAUAGUAUGUAGUUUAUAGUAUUUUUUUAAAAAGACUUAUAUUUAGAAACGAAGGGAGUAAGUAACAAAGGGAUGCCUAGUGUAUGCUGCAUGCAGGCAGCAGUUUAGCAUUAGCAGCGGCACGUACAUAGACGCUCAAGUCCAUCCCAAGGAUUGCAUGGCAUCGGGCAAUGGCAAGCUGGACUUUCAACACUUGGACCCGUCGAGCAAGCUGCCCACUUGAUCACCCAAAUCCUACUAAUCAGUAGUUCUUCAUGCUCAAGCACGUGGGCCUACGUUGAACUAGUCCGGGCAUCAAAUAAUAUGGUGUACGGUGCUGGCAUGAACCCGGUUUUGGAUCGAGAUCAUCUGCUAAUCGGUAGUUCUUCAUGCACGGUUACUUGAUUUUGUCAAAAGCUCCACCCACCAUCCCCAACAUGCAUGGCCGGAAGCACCACUAUAAAUGUCCAUACCAUCUUUCCCUUAGAACUCACCUCAUCUUACAGCAGUACACACUUCGAUAAAAUACACACAAUGAUAGGCAAAAAGCUAGUAGCGCUUGGCUAUGUUGUCCUCUUGAGCAUUGGAGUGACCAAUGCUACAAGGGUGGCCAGAUACUCCACUGGAAGUGCCAAGGGAACGGGAGGAGGAGGAGGAGAGGGUGGGGGAACUGUGAGUGGUGGUGGGUCGGGUGCAGGAAGUGGAAUUAGGUCUGGCGUGAGUUCUAGUAGUGGUAGCCAUGCAAGCGGUGGAGGUGGAGGUGGCGGGGGAGGCGGUGGCCAAAAUGGUGGAACUGGAUAUGGUAGCGCGGGUCUGGCUCCGGCUCUGGUUCUAGUCAAUAUAGUCAAGGAUCUUCAUAUCCUUAUGGUGGUGGAUAUGGUGGAUAUACUAGCGAUGGCGGUUCCGGUGGCGGCGGUGGUGGAGGGCAAGCUAGUGGUUAUCGAGGAUCUAGUGGAUAUGGGGCUGGUAGUGGCACUGGUUCCGGCUCAGCAACUGCUACUAACAAUUUUUAUAGACAAGGUAGUACAAAUGCAGAUGCCGGUGGAAAUGGUGGUGGCGAUGGCGGAGGAAGAAAUGGUGGGAGUGGUGUGGGCAAAGGUGUUGGAUCUGGGUAUGGCAAUGCCAAUCCCUAGUUCUGUUUCUGUGAGGAAUCUAAAAAAAUGAAGCCUAACCUAGUGUGUCAAAUCGAUGUCUUCAACUCUUUUUUCAUUUGUUUGUUAUCAUCUUACGUAUGAUCAAAUAAGGGCUUCAUUGUUCUGGUGAAAAAUGCACUAGUGUUUUUGAUAUAUUCCAAG
rnacentral:lncRNA from 1 species